GAUGAACGCUGGCGGCGUGCCUAAUACAUGCAAGUCGAGCGAACGGACGAGAAGCUUGCUUCUCUGAUGUUAGCGGCGGACGGGUGAGUAACACGUGGAUAACCUACCUAUAAGACUGGGAUAACUGCGGGAAACCGUAGCUAAUAACGGAUAAUAUUUUGAACCGCAUGGUUCAAAAGUGAAAGACGGUCUUGCUGUAACUUAUAGAUGGAUCCGCGCUGCAUUAGCUAGUUGGUAAGGGAACGGCUUACCAAGGCAACGAUGCAUAGCCGACCUGGGAGGGUGAUCGGCCACACUGGAACUGAGACACGGUCAGGACUCCUACGGGAGGCAGCAGUGGGGAAUCUUCCCCAAUGGGCGAAAGCCUGACGGAGCAACGCGGCGUGAGUGAUGAAGGUCUUCGGAUCGUAAAACUCUGUUAUUAGGGAAGAACAUAUGUGUAAGUAACUGUUCACAUCUUGACGGUACCUAAUCAGAAAGCCACGGCUAACUACGUG
rnacentral:rRNA from 1 species